GGCUCAGAGCGCCCAGUCCGACGCUAGGCUCUGAACCCCUUCCACCAGGCUCUGCGCUCGGUCCCCUCUGCUCAUUUCCUCCCCGCGGGGCGUGCAGCUCAGACGCUCUUUGAACCUAGCAGGUUCGGUGGCCAGGGUGAGGAUUACGGGUGACGUCGGGUGUCGCUAGGGACCCUGGAGCGGAGCUGUCCCGCGGGGGUUCUAGGUUUCCUUCAACAUCCAGAUGGACCUGGCGGGGAGGUGGCCCGGUGGCUUCGUGCGCGCCGGGCACGGGGAGCUGGGGCGCUCGCUGGGCUCGGGCGGCAGCUUUGCGGGCAGGCGGAGGUCGGGCUUGGGGAGAGGUAGGGAAGAGGGACAACAGCCAUGAGAGAGGAGAGUGCUCAGGCAUUUAACGGGUCCUCCACCCGAGGGGGCCUGGGGAUCUGGGGUACUGAGGAGAAACUAAGGGUCAUCACAUCUGAGCACAGCCAGUCGAAUGUGGACGUUGACUGGCAGCAAGCCGCUUCCCUUUUUUCCGUCUUGGAUUUAAGCUUUUUUUUUUUUUUUUUUUUUGAGUCAGAGUCUCGCUCUGUCGCCCAGGCUGGAGUGCAGUGGCGCCAUCUUGGCUCACUGCAAGCUCCACCUUCCAGAUGUUCUCCUCCCUCACGCAAUUCUCCUGCCUCAACCUCCCGAGUAGCUGGGACCACAGGCGCCCGCCACCACGCCCGGCUAAUUUUUAAAUUUUUUUUAUUUUUAGUAGAGACGGGGUUUCACCGUGUUAGCCAGGAUGGUCUCGAUCUCCUGACCUUGUAAUCCGCCCGUCUCGGCCUCCCAGAGUGCUGGGAUUACAGACGUGGGCCACCACGCCCAGCCAGGAUUUCACUUUUGUACCCAUUUCUGUAGCAGUAAGGGAAUGCUAACUUCUGUAGCAAUUACAACUUGUAAAUUUCAGUGGCAUUACACAAUAGAAAUUUAUGUAUAUUGUCCUUCUAAGAGUUCAAAGCAGAUUUUCCUGGCCAGUGGGCCCCAUAGUGAUUCAGGGACCCAGUUUCUUCCAUAUGGUGGUUCCACUGUUCCCUGGAGUCUUAAUAUUCUUUGCACCUAACUUUUUAAAAGAGAAGAGUAGAGAAGGUGUACCUACUUCUCGAAAGUCUGGCUAUCACUUCCACUCACAUUCCACUGAGGUGCCAUUCACAUCAAAUGUAGCCAUUUUAGAGGUGCCAAAAUAAAAUAUAUCAGCCAUAUUUAAUAAAUUCCAGCUCUACUCUUCUACCCUAUAGCCCAAGAAGCAACAACGAUGGGGUUAAAGGAUCAUGCAGUAUUUUUCAGGGAAAUGACACAGUUAAUUUUGAAUGAAAUGCCAAGAGCUGGGUAUUCCAGCAUAUUAAAUGAUUUUGUGGAAUCUAAUUUUUUUGUGAUUGAUGGAGAUUCCUUGCUUGUCACAUGCCUGGGUGUAAAAUCAUUCAAGUGGGGACAGAACCUCCACUUUUUCUAUCUGGUUGAAUGCUAUCUUGUGGAUCUUAUGAGCAACGGAGGACAAUUCGCCAUAGUUUUCUUCAAGGAUGCUGAAUAUGCAUAUUUUGAUUUUCCUGAACUUCUUUCAUUGAGAACUGCUUUAAUUCUCCACCUUCAACACAAUACUAGCGUUGAUGUGCAAACGGAGUUUUCUGGAUGCUUAUCACAAGAUUGGAAGUUAUUCUUGGAACAGUAUUACCCAUAUUUUCUGAUAGUUUCAGAGGAAGGCCUGAGUGAUUUACAAAUGUAUCUUUUUAACUUCUUAAUUAUACAUUCCUGGGGAAUGAAAGUCAACGUUGUGCUUUCAUCAGGGCACGAAUCUGAUACUCUCAGACUUUAUGCACAUACUAUGGAAAGCACAGACAGAAACCAAACUUUUUUGAAGGAGAAUGAAACAGUGAUUCAGAGUGCAUAUAAAAGCCUCAUACAACAUUUAGAAGAAAGAAGGGUUUUAGCAUUAGCACCUCAUUUUGAACAUUUGAAAUGGAAUGAUAUGAUGGAAGAGGCAUAUCAGACUCUAUUUCUGCUUCAGCACCUAUGGUCAGAAGGAUCGGACAUCCAGCGUGUUCUCUGUGUCACUUCAUGUUCACUAUCCUUGAGAAUGUACCAUCGUGUCUUAGUGCACAGUAAUUGCCUAUCCCUGCAGGAGGUGGAAGAUUUCUGCAGACUGCGUUGCCUCUGUGUGGCUUUUCAACUCCACUUACCCCUUUCUCGGAGAGCUUGUUCUCGAGUCAUCACAUGCUCUUGGAUUGGGAACAGUGAUUCUUUCUUAAAAAUGAACAAGUGGUGUGAACAUUUCAUUUUAAGCAACUUAAACGCUUUUGGAUGCUGGAAUCUGAAUUUAAAUCGUGUUUCUGACUUGUAUGAUGAGCAAUUGUUAAAGAAUAUUGCCUUCUACUAUGAAUUCGAAAGUACUCAAGAACCACAUUUGAAUUUGGGAGAUUCCAUUAGGAGGGAUUAUGAACACCUGUGGAAUGUUGUGUCACACCUGGUUAAAGAAUUUAAUGUUGGAAAGCCUUUUCCUCUGAGAACAACAAGAAGACAUUUUCUUAGACAAGAGAAAUCGUUCAUUCAAGAAAUCUCCUUGGAAAAGAUGCCUAGUGUGGGUUUUAUUCCAAUGACAUCUGCUGUAAUUGAUGAGUUUGUUGGAGAUAUGAUGAAGGAUUUGCCUAUUCUAAAGAGUGAUGAUCCAGUUGUUCCUUCACUGUUUAAACAAAAGACAUCUGAUGAACUUUUGCACUGGCAGGCCCAAAGACUCCUUAGUGACGACUAUGACAGGAUCAAACGUCGUGUUGAUGAACAAUCGAGAGAUCCUCAUGUUCUUGAUUUCCUGAAAAAGAGUCGGGAUUAUCAGAAAUUUUAUGGGAAAUCGUUAGAAUCAAUCUCUGCAAAAGUCAUUGUGACUCAAACUACUCGGCCAAAGGAGGAUUCCAGUGGUGCCAGUGGUAAAAUAUUACAGAAUACCAAACCCCACCAAAUUACCAAAAAGAGUAAGAAAAAGUCAUUUCUCAAAGAAGAUCAGAACAAAGCUCAGCAAAUGGAUGAUCUGCUAUUUUCUAUUGAAGAGGAGAUGAAGAAGAAUUUACAUUCUGGAAUAAGGAAAUUGGAAGAUUAUUUGACAUCAUGUGCAAGUAAUUCAGUGAAAUUUGGAGUUGAAAUGUUAGGAUUAACUGUCUGCUUUAAAGCAUGGAAAGAACAUUGCCGAGGUGAAGGCAAAAUUUCAAAAGAUAUAAGUAUAGCUGUUCAAAUGAUGAAAAGGAUUCAUUCACUCCUGGAGAGAUACUCGGAAAUUUUGGAAGCAGAACAUCAUCAAUAUAUAGCUAAAUGCCUUAAAUAUUUAGGCUUUAAUGAUUUGGCAAACUCUUUGGAUCCAACUCUGAUAGGAGACGACAAAAAUAAGAAGAAAUAUUCGAUUGACAUUGGACCAGCUCGGUUUCAACUCCAAUACAUGGGCCAUUACUUGAUACGAGAUGAAAGAAAAGAUCCGGAUCCCAGGGUCCGGGAUUUUAUUCCCAACGCAUGGCAGCGAGAACUCCUCGAUGUGGUGGAUAAGAAUGAGUCAGCAGUGAUUGUUGCCCCAGUGUCAGCAGGCAAAACCUAUGCUUCCUACUACUGCAUGGAGAAAGUGCUGAGGGAGAGUGAUGACGGGGUGGUGGUGUACAUUGCACCUGCAAAGUCCCUUGUUGGUCAAGUGGCUGCAACUGUUGAGAAUCGUUUUACUAAAACGUUACCUGCUGGCAGAACUCUAUGUGGUGCUUUUACAAGAGAUUAUGGUCACAAUGUACUAAACUGUCAGGUACUUAUUACAGUGCCAGAAUGUUUUGAAAUCCUGCUGCUUGCUCCUCGUCGCCAAAAAUGGGUGGAAAGGAUCAGAUAUGUUAUAUUUGAUGAGGUCCAUUAUCUUGGCAGAGAAGUUGGAGCAAAAUUUUGGGAGCUCCUCCUUGUCAUUAUUCGAUGUCCUUUUUUGGUUCUUUCAGCUACCAUAAAUAACCCAAAUCUUCUCACCAAGUGGCUGCAAUCAGUAAAACAGUACUGGAAACAGGCAGACAAGAUUAUGGAAGAGAAAUUUAUUUCUGAAAAACAGGCUGACGAAUGUCUCAACUUUCUCCAAGACAAUUCAUAUAAAAAUCAAUCAUAUGAAGUUAGACUUGUGCUCUGUGGAGAGAGAUACAAUGAUUUAGAGAAGCAUAUAUGUUCAGUAAAACAUGAUGAUGUUUAUUUUGAUCAUUUUCAUCCCUUUGCUGCGCUAACGACAGAUAUUAUCGAAAAGUAUGGAUUCCCACCUGAUCUUACCCUCACCUCUCAAGAAAGCAUCCAGCUUUAUGAUACCAUGGCUCAAGUCUGGGAAACUUGGCCCAGGGCUCAGGAAUUGUGUCCAGAGAAAUUCAUUCUUUUUAAGAAUAAAAUAGUCAUUAAGAAGUUGGAUGCUAGAAAAUAUGAAGAAAACUUAAAGGCAGAAUUGACAAAUUGGAUUAAAAAUGGCCAAGUGAAGAAGGUCAAAAGAGUACUGAAGAACCUUAGUCCAGAUUCAUUGUCUAGUUCAAAAGAUAUGGUAAAAAUGUUUCCUCUUCUUGUUGAAAAGUUAAGACAAAUGGAUAAGUUGCCUGCAAUAUUUUUUUUGUUUAAGAAUGAUGAUGUGGGAAAAAGAGCUGGAAGUGUGUGCACUUUUCUGGAGAAGACAGAGACAAAAAGCCAUCCCCACACUGAAUGUCAUAGUUAUGUCUUUGGAAUAGACGAAGUACUUGAAAAAGUGGGGAAGACACGAAAAAGGAUUAGCAUUAAAAAAAACCCAAAGAAGGCUGAAAAACUGGAAAGAAAAAAAAUGUAUAUAGCUGAAUAUAUCAAUUUCCUGGAGAAUCUGAAGAUUCUGGAAAUCUCUGAGGACCGCACAUAUGCUGAUGCCAAAGCCCUACACACUGAGAUUACCAGGAAUAAAGGCUCAACUUUGGAUAGGGUAUUAAAACGAGUGCGAUUAACAAGACACGGUGAAGAACUGAAGGCUUUAGCACAAAGGGGGAUUGGAUAUCAUCACAGCGGCAUGUAUUUUAAAGAAAAAGAGUUCGUUGAGAUACUCUUUGUAAAAGGGCUUAUUAGGGUAGUGACAGCUACUGAAACACUUGCCUUAGGGAUCCACAUGCCAUGCAAAUCUGUUGUUUUCGCCCAAGACUCAGUCUAUCUGGAUGCUUUAAAUUACAGACAGAUAUCUGGUCGUGCUGGAAGAAGAGGUCAAGACCUGCUUGGUAAUGUGUAUUUCUUUGAUAUCCCAUUGCCCAAAAUAAAAAGACUCCUUGCAUCCAGUGUUCCUGAGCUGAGAGGACAGUUCCCUCUCAGCAUAACCCUGGUCCUGCGACUCAUGCUGCUGGCUUCCAGGAGAGAUGACCCAGAGGAUGCCAAGGCAAAGGUGUUGUCAGUGCUAAAGCAUUCAUUGCUGUCUUUUAAGAGACAAAGAGCCAUGGAGACUUUGAAACUUUACUUUUUGUUUUCCUUGCAGCUCCUGAUCAAAGAGGACUAUUUAAAUAAAAAAUGUAAUCCAAAGAAAUUUGCAGGACUUGCAUCAUAUUUGCAUGGUCAUGAACCUUCCAAUCUUGUUUUUGUAAAUUUUCUCAAGAGAGGCCUUUUCCAUAAUCUCUGUAAGCCAGCCUGGAAAGGCUCACGACAAUUUUCCCAAGAUGUGAUGGAAAAGCUCGUGUUAGUAUUGGCAAAUUUGUUUGGAAGAAAAUAUAUUCCAGCAAAAUUCCAAAAUGCUAAUUUAAGUUUUUCUCAGUCAAAGGUGAUCCUUGCUGAACUCCCGGAGGAUUUUAAAGCUGCUUUACAUGAGUAUAACCUGGCAGUAAUGAAGGAUUUUGCCUCCUUCCUACUGAUUGCUUCCAAGUCGGUGAACAUGACAAAAGAGUAUCAACUCCCUUUGUCAAGAAUCAAAUUCACAGGUAAAGAAUGUGAAGACUCCCAACUCGUGUCUCACUUGAUGAGCUGCAAGGAAGGAAGAGUAGCCAUUUCACCAUUUGUUUGCCUUUCGGGGAACACAGAUAACGAUUUGCUUCGACCAGAGACUAUCAACCAGGUCAUCCUGCGCACAAUUGGUGUUAGUGGCACUCAGGCUCCUCUGCCGUGGCCAUGGAAAUUAGAUAACCGAGGAAGGAGAAUGCCACUAAAUGCAUAUGUGCUCAAUUUCUAUAAACACAACUGCUUGACAAGAUUAGACCAAAAAAAUGGGAUGCGUAUGGGACAGCUUUUAAAGUGUUUGAAAGAUUUUGCAUCCAACAUUCAGGCUAUCAGUGUUUUGUUUCUCUUAAAGUUUACAUUAUACAUGCCUUAUAGAGAUAUUUGUCAAUGGGGAUAUCCAACUUGCAAGCAAAGAGGUCACCGCUGGACAGCUAUGGACUGCUGUGGGACAAUUUCAGAAGCUACUUACCCAAGAAGUCUAAUGUGGAAAGAUGUGGCUGUCACUCCCUGGGAAAACAAAUAGGAAAGAAUAUGACAAAAGAGGAAAUCAGCUGUUGAACCAAAGAAGGAUUUAAAUAUUUAAGAAAUGCCAACCACUGAAGACAGUUGCUCUGCAACUUAAAAUCCUGAGCCUCUUGACUGCAGUUUGGCUUCACUUCUGCAGGGACAUAAUACACCUCUACCAGGCCAUCCAUGGAUACCUCAGCAGCCUUCUGUUGCACACAGCCUUUGCAGACAAGAUCUUAACUGCUUCUACCCUUCUCCAGAAGCACAGGUGGGAAAAGAAAUUGCUUUGAAGGAGAAGAUUGUAACCGAAAUCAAGGGAGAAGAGGCACUUUGGAAGAGAGGGACUGUACAAACUAUCUUUCUAAUGCUG